GCAAUGCCGCGUGAGUGAAGAAGGCCUUCGGGUUGUAAAGCUCUUUUGUCAGGGAAGAAAAGGCUACGGAUAAUACCUGUGGCUCAUGACGGUACCUGAAGAAUAAGCACCGGCUAACUACGUGCCAGCAGCCGCGGUAAUACGUAGGGUGCAAGCGUUAAUCGGAAUUACUGGGCGUAAAGCGUGCGCAGGCGGUUUUGUAAGACUGUCGUGAAAUCCCCGGGCUCAACCUGGGAAUGGCGAUGGUGACUGCAAGGCUAGAGUUUGGCAGAGGGGGGUAGAAUUCCACGUGUAGCAGUGAAAUGCGUAGAUAUGUGGAGGAACACCGAUGGCGAAGGCAGCCCCCUGGGUCAAAACUGACGCUCAUGCACGAAAGCGUGGGGAGCAAACAGGAUUAGAUACCCUGGUAGUCCACGCCCUAAACGAUGUCUACUAGUUGUCGGGUCUUAAUUGACUUGGUAACGCAGCUAACGCGUGAAGUAGACCGCCUGGGGAGUACGGUCGCAAGAUUAAAACUCAAAGGAAUUGACGGGGACCCGCACAAGCGGUGGAUGAUGUGGAUUAAUUCGAUGCAACGCGAAAAACCUUACCUACCCUUGACAUGGAUGGAAUCCCGGAGAGAUU
rnacentral:rRNA from 1 species